rnacentral:lncRNA from 1 species
UGUGACUAUUUUGCAUUUAUUCUUGUUUGUGAGGACUAUUGCUAUUGAAUAUCGGACUCAAGUGGGUGUACCGUGCUAAUAGCGAUGCCUAGGCCCAAGUACGCUCAAAUCCAUAUCUCCACGCCUUUGAAUGUUGUGAACGUACUGUGCUUUAAAUUUGUGGUAUAUUCUUGGCCUUAAUUAACUUGAACUUGAAGUUCCCCGGGUUCAAUUUCAAGCUCAAGUUAAUUAGGUAUUAUUAGACAAGGCCUUAUGUUGUACUUCGUCUUUUUAAAAUUAUGCUGAUUUGAGUUUUUGUGUAAUAUGUAGUGACUGUUUUGCAUUUGUUCUGUUUUGCGAGGACUAUUGCUAUUGACUACCAGAUUCAACUUCAAGCUCGAGUUAUUUAGGUACUUUUUGUUAGUACUUUAUGUUGUUUUUUAUUUAUAGCAUGAUUUUAAUGUUUGAGUAACGAGUAGUGACUGCUUUGCAUUUUUUUUGUUUUGCGAGGAGUAAUACUGUUGACUCAUCAGGUUUAUUUCAAUCUCCAAGUUAUUAGAGUAUUAGUAGUUUAUGGUCGUAUGUUGUACUUUGUCUUUUUUAAUUACGCUAAUGUUGAAUUUUGAGUAAUGAGUUUGACUAUUUUGCAAUUUAGUUGUUUUGGUGAGGACCUAUUGCUAUUGAAUAUCGACUCAAGUGGGUGUACCGUUCUAAUAGCGAUGCCUAGGCCCAAGUACGCUCAAAUACAUAUUCUCACGACUUGAAUGUUGUGGUACGUAACUGUGGCUUUAAAUUUUGUAUAUUUAUCUUGGGCCUUAAUUAACUUGAACUUGAAGUUCCCCGGGUUCAAUUUCAAGCUCAAGUUAAUUAGGUAUUGUUAGACAAGGCCUUAUGUUGUAAUUUGUCUUUUUAAAAUUAUGCUGAUUUGAGUUUUUGUGUAAUAUGUAGUGACUGUUUUGCAUUUGUUCUGUUUUGUGAGGACUAUUGCUAUUGACUACCAGAUUCAACUUCAAGCUCGAGUUAUUUAGGUACUUUUUGUUUGUACUUUAUGUUUUUUAUUUAUAGCAUAUUUUAAUGUUUGAGUAACGUGGUAGUGACUGCUUUGAAUUUUUUGUUUUGCGGAGGACUAAUAUGUUGACUAUCGGGUUUAAUUUCAAUUCUCAAAGUUAUUAGGGUAAUUAGUUAGUUAUGGCCGUAUGUUGUACUUUGUUUUUUCACAUUAUUGCUAAUUGAAUUUUUGGAGUAAUGAGUUGUGACUUAUUUUGGCAUUUAUUUUGUUGUAGUACGGACUAUUGAUAUGACUAUCGUGACUCAAGUGGUGUGUUACCGUGCUAAUAGCGAUGCCUAGGGGCCAAGUACUCUCAAACAUUAUAUCCUCGGCCUUUGGAAUGUUGUGGUUCUUAAGUAACCUGAACUUGAAGUUCCCCGGGUUCAAUUUCCAGCUCAAAGUUAUUAGUUAUUAUUAGGGCAAGGCCUUAUGUUGUACUUUGUCUUUUUAAAAUUAUGCUGAUGUGAGUUUUUGUGUAAUAUGUAGCGAUGUUUUGAUUUGUUCGUUUGCGAGGGACUAUUGCUAUUGACUACGGAUCAACUUCAACGGCUCGAGUUUUUAGGUACUUUUUGUUAGACUUUAUGUGUUUGAUUUAUAGCAUCAUGAUUUUAAGUUUGAGUAACGAGUGAGUGGAAUGCUUUGCAUUUUUUUGUUUUGCGCAGGGAGUAAUUAAUGUUGACUAUCAGGUUUAAUUUCAAGCUCAAGUUAUUAGGGUAUUAGUAGGUUAUGGGACCGUAUUUGUACUUUGUCUUUUUCAAAUUAUGCUAAUUUGAAUUUUUGAGUAAUGAGUUGUGACUAUUUGCAUGUAAUUUGUUUAAGUGAGGACUAUUGCUAAUUGGACUAUUGGACUCAAGUUGGUUGUACCGUUGCUAAUAGGGAUGCCUAGGCCAAAAGUACUAUCAAUCAUAUCUCCGCGCCUUGGAAAUGGUGUGGUACGAACUGGUGGCUUUAAAUUUGGUAUAUUUUUUCUUGGGCCUUAAUUAACCUGAACUUGAAGUUCCCCGGGUUCAUUCAAGCUCAAGUAAUAGGUAUUAUUAGAUAAGGCCUUCUUAUGAGAUUUGUCUUUUUAAAAUUAUGUUGAUUUGAGUUUUUGUGUAAUAUGUAGUGACUGUUUUGCAUUUGUUCUGUUUUACGAGGACUAUUGCUAUUGAUUAUCGAACUCAACUUCAAUCUCGAGUUAUUUAGGUACUUUUUGUUAGUACUUUAUUUAUUUCAAAUUAUUUUUUUUGUUUUGCGAGGACUAAUACUGUUGACUAUCGGGUUUAAUUUUAAGCUCAAGUUAUUAGGGUAUUAGUAGUUAUGGCCGUAUGUUGUACUUUGUCUUUUCAAAAUUAUGCUAAUUUGAAUUUUGGAGUAAUGGAGUUGUGACCUAGUUGCAUUUAUUUUGUUUAGUGAGGACUAUUGCUAUGAACUAUCGUAACUCAAGUGGGCUUGAUACCGUGCUAUAACGAUAGCCUAGGCCCAAGGACUCUCAAUCCAUAUCUCCACGCCUUGAAUGUUGUGGUACGGAACGUGGCUUGAAAAUUUUUGUAUAUUUAUCUUGCGCCUUAAUUAAACUGGAACUUGAAGUUCACCGGGGUUCAAUUCAAGCUCAGUUAAUUAGGUAUUAUAGACCAAGGCCUUAUGUUGUAACUUUGUCUUUUUAAAUUAUUAUGUGAUGAGUUUUGUGUAAUAUGUAGUGGACUGUUUUGCCUUUGGUUUGUUUUCGGAGGACUAUGGCUAUUGACUACCGGGUUCACUUCAAUCUCGAGGUUAUUUAGGUACUUUUUGGUUAGUAUUUUAUGUGGUUUUUUAUUUAUAGCAUUGAUUUCUACUGUUUGAGUAACGAGUAAGUGACUCUUUGGGUGCAUUUUUUUGUUUUGCGAGGAGUAAUUAUGUGGACUAUCGGGUUAAUUUUCAAUCUCAAGUUAUUAGUGUAUUAGUAGUAUGCCCGUAGUAUGUUGUACUGUCUUUUCAAAUUAUUGCUAAUUUGAAUUUUUGGUAAUGAGUGUGACUAUUUUGCAUUAUUUUGUAUAGUGAGGACUAUUGCUAUUGACUAUCGGGACUCAAAGGGUUGUACGCGUUGAUAAUAGCGAUGCUAGGCCCAAAGUAGCCUCAAUUCCAUAUCUCCACGCCUUUGAAUGUUGUGUACGUAACUGUGCCUUUAAUUUGCUAAUUUGUCUUGGGCCUUAAUUAACCUUGAACUGAAGUUCCCCGGGUUCAAUUUCAAGCUUCACAGUUAAUAGGUAUAUGAAGACAAAAGGCCUUUUGUUGUACUUUGGGUUUUUUAAAAUUAUGCUGAUUUGAGUUUUUGUGUAAUAUGUAGGGGACUGUUUGGCAUUUGUUCUGUUUUGCGAGGAAUAUGCUAUUGACUACCGGAUGGAAUUCAACUUCUAAGCUCGAGUUAUUAGGUACCUUUUUGUUAGUACUUAUGUUGUUUUUUUUAUUUAUAGCAUGAUUUAAUGUUUGGAGUAAACGAGUAGUGAUGCUUUGCAUUUUUUUUGUUUUGCAGAGGAGUAAUAAGUUGACUAUCGGUUAAUUUCAAUCUCAAGUUAUUAGUGUAUAGUAGUUAUGGCCGUUUGUUGUACUUUGUCUUUUUCAAAUUAUGCUAAUUUGAAUUUUUGGGUGGUAAUGAGUUGUGGAACUAUUUUGCAUUAUUUUGGUUGUUCCCUUGGGAACUAUUGCUAUGAAUAUGGGACUCGCAAGUGGGGUACCGUGCUAAUAGCGAUCCCUAGGCCCAAGUACGCUCAAAUCCAUAUCUCCACGCCUUUUUGAAUGUUGUGGACUUAAAUGUGCUGUUAAAUUUUGUAUAUUUAUCUUGGGCCUUUAAUAACUUCUAAUUGAAGUGCCCCGGGGUUCAAUUUCAAGCGAUAGUUAAUUAGGUAAUUGUUCGACAGCCUACUAAUGUGUAAUUUCUCUGUUUAAAAUUUAUGCUGUGAUAAUUGUGAUUUGAUUGAAUUUUUGUGUAAUAUGUAGUGACUGUGGUUUGCAUUUGUUGUUCUGUGAGGGACUAUUGUAUUGACUUACCAGCUUCAACUUCAGCUCGAGUUAUUUAGGUACUUGUGUUAGUUACUUUAUGUUGUUUUGUAGUUUAUAGAAUGUUUAAUGUUGCGUAACGAGUCGGAUGAUUUGCGUUUUUUUUUUUUGUUGCGAGGACUAAUACUGUUGACUAUCGGGUUAAUUUCAAGCUCAAGGUAAUUAGGGUAUAGUAGUUAUGGCGUAUGUUGUACUUUGUCUUUUUCAAAUUAUGCUAAUUUGAAUUGUUGAGUUAAUGGAGUUGUGACUUAUUUUGCAUUUAUUUUGUUUAGUGAGGACUAUGCUAUUGGAAUAUUGUGACUCAAGGCGGUUUGGUACCGUGACUAAUAGCCGAUGCCUAGGCCAAGUAGUAACUCUCAAAUCCAUAUUCGCGCCUUUGAACUGUGCGUGGUACGUAAUUGUGGUUUUAAAUUUGAAUUUAUCUGGGCUUUAUAAACCUGAAAUUGAAGGUCCCCGGGGUUUAAUUUCAAGCUCAAGUUAAUUAGGUAUUAUUAGACAAGGACCCUUAUGUUGUACUUUGUCGUUUUUAAAAUUAUGUGAUUGAGUUUUUGUGUAUAUGUAGUGACUGUUUUGCAUUUGUCUGUUUUGCGAGGAUAUUGCUAUUGGACUACGGAUUCAUUCAACUUCAAGCUAGAGUUAUUUAGGGACUUUUGUUAGUACUUUAGGUGUUAUUUAGUUUUAUAGCAUGAUUUAACGUUUGAGUACGAGUACUGAUGCUUUCACUUUUUUGUUUUGCGAGGACUAAUACUGUUGACUAUCGGGUUUAAUUUCAAGCUCAAGUUAUUAGGGUAUUAGUAGUUAUGGCCGUAUGUUGUACUUUGUCUUUUUCAAAUUAUGCUAAUUUGAAUUUUUGAGUAAUGAGUUGUGACUAUUUUGCAUUUAUUUUGUUUAGUGAGGACUAUUGCUAUUGACUAUUGGACUCAAGUGGGUGUACCGUGCUAAUAGCGAUGCCUAGGCCCAAGUACUCUCAAAUCCAUAUCUCCGCGCCUUUGAAUGUUGUGGUACGUAAUUGUGGUUUUAAAUUUUGAAUAUUUAUCUUGGGCCUUAAUUAACCUGAAAUUGAAGGUCCCCGGGUUUAAUUUCAAGCUCAAGUUAAUUAGGUAUUAUUAGACAAGGCCUUAUGUUGUACUUUGUCUUUUUAAAAUUAUGCUGAUUUGAGUUUUUGUGUAAUAUGUAGUGACUGUUUUGCAUUUGUUCUGUUUUGCGAGGACUAUUGCUAUUGACUACCGGAUUCAACUUCAAGCUCGAGUUAUUUAGGUACUUUUUGUUAGUACUUUAUGUUGUUUUUUAUUUAUAGCAUGAUUUUAAUGUUUGAGUAACGAGUACUGACUGCUUUGCAUUUUUUUUGUUUUGCGAGGAGUAAUACUGUUGACUAUCGGGUUUAAUUUCAAGCUCAAGUUAUUAGGGUAUUAGUAGUUAUGGCCGUAUGUUGUACUUUGUCGUUUUCAAAUUAUGCUAAUUUGAAUUUAUUUUGUUUUGUGAGGACUAUUGCUAUUGAUUACCGGAUUCAACUUCAAGCUCGAGUUAUUUAGGUACUUUUUGUUAGUACUUUAUGUUGUUUUUUAUUUAUAGCAUGAUUUUAAUGUUUGAGUAACGAGUAGUGACUGCUUUGCAUUUUUUUUGUUUUGCGAUGAGUACUACUGUUGACUAUCGGGUUUAAUUUCAAGCUCAAGUUAUUUUUAGGGGUAUAGUAUUAUGGCCGUAUGUUGUACUUUGUCGUUUUCAAAUUAUGCUAAUUUGAAUUUAUUUUGUUUUGUGAGGACUAUUGCUAUUGAUUACCGGAUUCAACUUCAAGCUCGAGUUAUUUAGGUACUUUUUGUUAGUACUUUAUGUUGUUUUUUAUUUAUAGCAUGAUUUUAAUGUUUGAGUAACGAGUAGUGACUGCUUUGCAUUUUUUUUGUUUUGCGUAGGACUAAUUCUGUUUGACUUCGGGUUUAAUUUUCAACGCUUCAAGUUUAUUAGUUGUAUUAGUAUUAUGGCCGUCUGUUGUACUUUGUCUUUUCAAAUUUAUGCCUAAUUUGAAUUUUUGGGUAAUGAGUUUGUAACUAUUUUUCCAUUUAUUUUGUUUAGUGAGGAAAAACUAUUGCUAUUGACUAUCGGACCAAGUGGGUGUACCGUGUAAUAGCCGAUGCCCUAGGGCCCAAGUACUCUCAAAUCCAUAUCUCCACGCCUUUGAAUGUUGUUGGUACGUAGACUGUUCUUUUAAAUUUUGUAUAUUUAUCUUGGGCCUUAAUUAACCUGAACUUGAAGUUCCCCGGGUUCAAUUUCAAGCUCAUGUUAAUUAGGUAUUAUUAGACAAGGCCUUAUGUUAAACUUUGUCUUUUUAAAAUUAUGCUGAUUUGAGUUUUUGUGUAAUAUGUAGUGACUGUUUUGCAUUUGUUCUGUUUUGCGAGGACUAUUGCUAUUGACUACCGGAUUCAACUUCAAGCUCGAGUUAUUUAGGUACUUUUUGUUAGUACUUUAUGUUGUUUUUUAUUUAUAGCAUGAUUUUAAUGUUGAGUAUACGGUAGUGACUGCUUUGCAUUUUUUUUGUUUUGCGAGGGUAGACUUUUGACUAUCGAGUUUAAUUUCAAGCUCAAAGUUAUAGGGUAUUGUAGUUAUGGACUAUGUUGUACUUUUCUUUUUUCCCCCAGAUUACGCUAAUUUGAAUUUUUGGUUAAUGAGUUGUGACUAAUUUUGCCAUUAUUUUGUUUAGUGAAGGACUAUUGCUAUUGAAUAUCGGACUCAAAUGGGUGUUACCGUGCUAAUAGCGAUGCCAGGCCCAAGUACGCUCAAAUCCCUAUCUCCGCCGCCUUUGAAUGUGUGGUACGUAUGUGUGGCUGUAAAUUUGAAUUUAUCUUGGGCCUUAAUUAACCAUGAAAUUGAGUUCACCGGGUUCAAUUUCAGCUCACGUUAUUAGGUAGUAUUAGACACGGCUUAUGUUGUACUUUGUCUUCUUAAAAUCAUGCUGCAUUUGAGUUUUUGUGUAAUAUGUAGUGGAAUGUUUUGAAUUGUUCUGUUUUGCGAGGACUAUUGCUAUUGACUACCGGAUUCAACUUCAGGCUCGAGUAUUUAGGUACUUUUUGUAGUACUUUAUGUUGUUUUUUAUUUAUAGCAUGAUUUCAAUGUUGAGAACGCGUCACUGACUGCUUUGACAUUUUUUUGUUUUGCGCGGUAUAAUACUGUUGACUAUCGGUUUAAUUUCAGCUCAAGUAUUAGGGUAUAGUAGUUUUAUGGCCGUAUGGUUGUACUUUGUCGUUUUAAAUUAUGCUAAUUUGAAUUUAUUUUGUUUUGUGAGGACUAUUGCUAUUGUACCGGAGUCCUUUCAAAGCUCGAGUAUUUAGGGGUACUUUUUGUUAGUACUUUAUGUUGUUUUUUAUUUAUAGCAUGAUUUUAAUGUUUGAGUAACGAGUAGUGACUGCUUUGCAUUUUUUUUGUUUUGCGAGGACUAAUACUGUUGACUAUCGGGUUUAAUUUCAAGCUCAAGUUAUUAGGGUAUUAGUAGUUAUGGCCGUAUGUUGUACUUUGUCUUUUUCAAAUUAUGCUAAUUUGAAUUUUUGAGUAAUGAGUUGUGACUAUUUUGCAUUUAUUUUGUUUUAGUGAGGCUAUUGUAUGACUAGAGGCUCAAGUUGGGUGUACGUGGUAAUAGCGGAGCCCUAGGCCCAAGUACUCUCAAUCCAUAUCUCCACGCCUUGAAUGUGUGGUACGUAAUGUGGCUGUAAAUUUGUAUAUUAUCUUGGCCUAAUUUAACCUGAAUUGAAUUGUUUCCCCGGGUUAUAUUUCCAGCCUCAUGUUAAUUAGGUAUUAUUAGACAAGGCCUUAUUGUUAAAAUUUGUCUUUUUAAAAAUUAUGUGAUUUGAGUUUUUGUGUAAGAUGUAGUGACUCGUUGCAUUUGUUCGUUUUGCGAGGACUAUGAUUGACUACCGGAUUCAACUUCAGCUCGAAGUAUUUGGGUACCUUUUUGUUAGUUACUUUAUGUUGUUUUUUAUUAGAGCACAUGAUUUAAUUUGUUUGAGUAAAGAGUAGUGAAUGCUUUGCAUUUUUUUGUUUUGCGAGAGUACUAAUGUUGGACUAUCGGGUUUAAUUUCAAGAUCAAGUUCUAGUGUAUUAGUGUUAUGGCCGUAUGUUGUACUUUGUCGUUUUCAAAUUAUGACUAAUUUGAAUUUUGGGGUAAUGAGUUGUGACUAUUUUGAAUUAUUUUGUUUUGUGAAGGGACGAUUGACUAUUGACUAUCGGACCUCAACGUGGUGUACCGUGCUAAUAGCGAUGCCUAGCCCAAGUACGCUCAAAUCCAUAUCUCCACGCCUUUGGAUGUUGUGGAUACGUAUUUGUGGCUUUAAAUUUUGUAUAUUAUCUUGCGGCCUUAUUAACUUGGAACUGAAGUGCCCCGGGUUAAAUUUCAAGCUCAAGUUAACUUAGGUAUUAUAGACAAGGCUUAUGGUUUGUACUUGUCUUUUUAAAAUAUUGCUGUGAUUUGAGUUUUUGUGUAAUAUGUAGUGACUGUUUGCCAUUUGUUCUGUAUUGCGAGCGACUAUUGCUAUUGACUACCGAUUCACUUCAAGCUCGAGUUAUUUAGGUACUUGUUGUUAGUACGUAUGUUGUUUUUUAUUUAUAGCAUGAUUUCAAUGUUUGAGUAACGAGUAGUACGACUGCUUGCAUUUUUUGUUUUGCGAGAGUAAUACAUGUUUGACUAUGGGUUUAAUUUCAAGCUCAAGUUAUUAGGGUAUAGUAGUUAUGCGCCGAAUAUAUGUUGUACUUUGUUCGUUUCAAAUUAUGCUAAUUUGAAUUUAUUUUGUUUUGUGGAGCUAUGCUAUGAUUACGGAUUCAACUUCAAGCUCGAGUUAUUAGGUACUUUUUGUUUUUGUCUUUAUGUGUUUUUAUUUAUAGCAUGAUUUUCAUGUUGCGUACGGUAGUGACGCUUUGCCUUUUUUUUGUUUUGGAGAGGACUAUACUGUUGAAUAUCGGGUUAGUUUCAAGCUCAAGUUAUUAGUGGUAUGGUCAUUAGUAGGUUAUGGCCGUAUGUUGUACUUUGGUCUUUUUCAAAUUAUGCUAAUUGAUUUUUGAGUAGUAAUGAGUGUGGAGCUAUUUGCAUUUAUUUGUUAGUGAGGACUACUUGCUAUUGACAGCGACUCAAGUGGUGUGACCUUUGGUCCGUGGUAAUAGCGAUGCAGAGGCCCAAGUUACUACCAAAUCCAUAUCUCCACGCCUUUGGAAGUGUGUGGUAGUAACUGUGGCUUUAAAUUUUGUAUAUUUAUUGGGCCUUAAUAACCUGAACUUGAAGUUCCCCGGGUUCAUUUUCAAGCUCAUGUUAAUUAGGUAGAUAUAGACAAGGCCUUUGUAAACUUUGUCUUUUUAAAAUUUAUGCGAUUUGAGUUUUUGUGUAUAUGUAGUGACUGUUUUGCAUUUGGUUCUGUUUUUGCGAGCGGAAUAUUGCUAUCGUAUGAACUACGGAUUCAACUUCAAGCUCGAGUUAUUUGGGUACGUUUUGUUAGACUAUGUGUUUUUAUUAUAGCAGAUUUUAAUGUUGCAGUAACGAGUAGUGGACUGCUUGCAUUAUUUUGUUGCGAGGAGUACUAUGUGGACUACGGGGUAUUUCAAGCUCAAGGUUAUUAGUUGUAUAGUCGUUAUGGCCGUAUGUGUACUUGUCGUUUUUUUCCACCUUAUGCUAAUUGGGAGUUUUGGGUAAUGAGUUUGUCGCCUAUUUGCAUUUAUUUUGUUUUGUGAGGAAUAUUUGCUAUUGGACUAUCGGACUCAAGUGGGGUGGAAGUGCUAUAGCGAUGCCUAGGCCCACGUACGCCUCAAAUCCAUAUCUCCACGCCUUGAAUGUUGUUUACGUUAUUUGUGGCUUAAAUUUAGUUAUUUAUCGUUGGGCUAUUAACUGAACUUGAAGUGCCCCGGUUCAAUUUCGAAGCUCACGUUAAUUAGUAUUAUUCGACAAGGCAUUAUGUGUACUUUGUCUUUGUCAAAAUAUGAUGAUUUGAGUUUUGUGUCAUAUGUAGUGAGGUUCUGCCAUUUGUUCUGUAUUGCGAGGACUCUAUUGCUCUUGACUACCGGAUUCAACUUCAAGCUCGAGUUAUUUAGGUACGCAUUUUGAUUAGUACCUAAUAUAUGUUGUUUUUUUUUAUUUAUAGCAUAAUUUAAUGUUUGAGAACGAGUAUGUGACUGCUUUGCAAUUUUUUUUGUUUUCGAAGACCUACAUACUUUUGAUUGACUAUCGGGUUUUAUUUCAAGCUCAAGUUAGUAGGUAUUAUAGUUAUGCCGUAUGUUUGUAGCUUUUGUCUUUUUCAAAUUAAUGCUACUUUGGAAUUUUUGAGUAAUGAGUUUGUGACUUUUUGUCAUUUAUUUGUAAAGUGAGGACGAUUGCUAUUGACUAUCGACUCAGUGGGUGUACCUGUGCUAAUAGCGAGCCUAGGCCCAGUACUUUCCUCAAAAUCCAUAUCUCCACCCUUUGAAAUGUGUGGUAGUAACUGGUGUCUUUAAAUUUUGUAUAUUUAUCUUGGGCCUUAAUUAACCUGAACUUGAAGUUCCCGGUUCAAUUUCAAGCUCAAGUUAUUAGGAAUUAUUAGACAAGGCCUUAUAUUGUACUUUGUCUUUUAAAACAUUAUGCUGAUUUGAGUUGUUGUGUAAAUAUGUAGUGACUGUUUUUGCAUUUGUUUGUGCUGUUUUUUUGCGAGUGAUUUGCUAUUGACUAACCGGAUUCAACUUCAAGCUAGAGUUAUUUAUGUAAACUUUUUUGUUAGUACUUGUUAUGUUGUUUUUUAUUUAUUAAUACAUGAAUUUAAUGUUUGAGUCACGAGGUAGUUACUGCUUUGCAUUUUUUUU